GCCUAUGUCCCAGCUACUCAGGAGGCUGAGGCAGGAGGAUCGCUUGAGCCCAGGAGUUCUGGGCUGUAGUGCGCAAUGCCUAUCGGGUAUCCGCACUAAGUUGGGCAUCAACAUCAUGACCUCCCGGGAGCGGGGGACCAUCAGGUUGCCUAAGGAGGGGUGAACCGGCCCAGGUUGGAAACAGAACAGGUCAAAACUCCCAUGCUCUUCAGUAGUGGGAUAGCACCUGUGAAUAGCCACUGUACUCCAGCCUGGGCAACAUAGCAAGACCCCAUCUCA
rnacentral:SRP_RNA from 1 species